rnacentral:SRP_RNA from 1 species
GGGUAAGUCUUAUACGAUCUGCUCCCUUUCAACUCCCCCAGGACAGGAAUGUAGCAAGGGCACAUUGGUUGUAGCGAUGCGAUGUAAGUAGCUUACCCUUU